rnacentral:lncRNA from 1 species
CUGCCAUUGGGCUUCCUAUUGGUAUGCCUUGCAGCUAUUUGUAAAAUUCACCCUUGUACGAGAAGUAAGACUUGUGGCAUAGUAGUGUAGCAAUCUCCCUUAUGAACUCCACUUCUACUAAUGCAUGGAUGCGUUUUCUAACAGGAAUCUGUAGAAUGCGAUAGACACUGGUUCUAAUCUAACAGAUGGGUAUAGACUUUUAAAGUCAUACAUUGCUAUAACAUUGUGUUCAUACCAUGUUAUUGUUUCUAUUCUCCUCAAGGCUUAUUUUGUCGAGGCUGUAGAAUACUGACUUGGUCCUAGAACUCUUGCAGACCAUCUGGCAAUGCAUUUUUCAAGGUUGUAUGUUGGCACUCUUUGCUUCUCUGCUAUAGGUCUGGCGGAUAUCAGGUAUUUGUGUGUUUUGAUAAACACAAAGAGCCUUGGGCCUUGGGUCCAUGAUCUUUGUGUUUCCAAGCUUGUGGGAAUAUUCUAUUCCUGAUCACUUUGUCUACCGCCUUUGCUAGCUUGAAGAUUGGGUCCUGUUUUAGUCACUGUGGUAUUGAUUCAUAUAUAUAUAUCCUUUUAGGAAGCUAUCAUAUGUACUUUCGUAUUAUUACGAUCUUUUUUGUCUUGUCCUCCCUUGUGAUUUUUAAAUUGUUUUGUCUGGCCCAUGCUGUGAUACUUCUAACAAGGUUAGCCUUGUAGGCCAUGUCAUUAUCCCUUUGUCUUUCGCUUUUUUGCUUUGUCACUUCUCUCACAUUUUGCCACCUGUAUUUGUGUUUAAUCUGGUCAUUUUCUUGCAUAGUCAAAAGCAGAUCUUCUGUUCGGUAUAUCAUCUAAUGGUUUUGUCCUUAUGCGGAUAGCACAUGCUGGUCCUUUCUGCAGUAGGUCUUUUGCUGACUGUGGAAGCUCUAUGUCUCCGAUAACUGUUACUACAUCACGUAGUUCUAACUUCGAGGCUGUCCUGGUGGUCUUUUGCUUACUUAGCAACCAUUUUAGCUUCUUUAUAUGUUGGUCUCUGCACUUCCUUCUGGAGUAUUCCACUUUCCUUUCAUAAUCCUCUAUGAGGACGGGUGGAGUGUUCUUGCUAAUUAAGUUCGACCUUAAUUCCUUCAGUUUUUUGCAUAGAACGUAGUAUCUACUUUUUGCUUCUUUGGCGGUGGCAUUUAGGAGAUUUUCUUUGUGUUACGCAACACUCUCUUCGAUUUUAUUGGUAGUCUAAUAUUGUUAAUCAUAGUUGGAAAAACUUUGUUUAAUCUACAUUUUUUUAGAAAGGUCCAUAUUUCAAAUGCCUUAAACCAUUUUGUAAGAGUUUUUGAGUAAUCUUUAAGUGGCUGGUUCUGCCUGUGGUUAUUCAUUGAGAAUUCCAUCUAGUCUUAAAAAAAAAAAGGAAAAUAAAAAAUUUUUGAGAAAACACAAUCCCUAGUCUAUUCUGCAUAUGUUCCCG